GCUGGCGGCGCGCUUAACACAUGCAAGUCGCACGAGAAAGGGAGCAAUCCUAAGUAAAGUGGCGCACGGGUGAGUAACACGUGGAUCAUCUACCUUUUAGUGGGGAAUACCUCUGGGAAACCGGAGACAAUACCGCAUAAGCCCGCAAGGGGAAAGCAGCAAUGCGCUGAAAGAGGAGUCCGCGGCCGAUUAGCUAGUUGGCGGGGUAACGGCCCACCAAGGCGAAGAUCGGUAGCCGGCCUGAGAGGGCACACGGCCACACUGGCACUGAAACACGGGCCAGACUCCUACGGGAGGCAGCAGUGGGGAAUCUUGCACAAUGGGCGAAAGCCUGAUGCAGCGACGCCGCGUGAGCGAUAAAGCCCUUCGGGGUGUAAAGCUCUUUCGACGGGAACGAUAAUGACGGUACCCGGAGAAGAAGCUGCGGCUAACUACGUGCCAGCAGCCGCGGUAAUACGUAGGCAGCGAGCGUUGUUCGGAAUUACUGGGCGUAAAGAGUGUGUAGGCGGUGUUCCCAGUCUGUUGUGAAAUCUCCCGGCUUAACUGGGAGGGUGCAGCGGAAACUAGAAUGCU
rnacentral:rRNA from 1 species